GUCCAGAGGUGUUUGCCAUAUAAAUACAGAAAACAAUUCUCGUGAUUUCCUUGGCCUUCGUGGCUGUGCCCGUAGGGUCAGUAAGCAUUUUCUCAAUGAAGGGGGCGUUUUGAAAUUCUUUCCACAGAAGUCUGGCAUUCUUUCUAAAUGGACCUGGAGGCUGAGGAGCCCUGGAGUGCUUCCAGCUGGUUCAAACUCUGCCAGUCUGCUCACAGAAGUCAUUGCCUGCCAACAGCCUACCACAGUCUUGGGAGUGAACUCCAACAAAGUUACCAUCAUGACUGCAGAUGCAUCCCAUCAAGAUGGAAAAAUGGGCUCCAAAUGCUGUUGCGCUAUUCCUGAAAGGUAACCAGCUUCUGUGCACAAGUGGAUGGAACAGGUCUAUUUACAUUGCUUUGAAGUUUACCCAGUAAAUCACCAUGACCUGUGCACGCAGAGGAAUGGAGGGCAAAAACUGAAUGAGUCUUGAUCUGUUUCUUACAACUGCCUUGUGAAGGUGGCAGGCAGUCAUUAAUACUGAUGAUUAUAUAAAUACGGGAUGGACAGUUGA
rnacentral:lncRNA from 1 species